AGCGAACGCUGGCGGCGUGCUUAACACAUGCAAGUCGAACGUGAAAUGUAGCAAUACAGAGUAAAGUGGCGUACGGGUGAGUAACACGUGGGUAAUCUACCAAAGUGUCUGGAAUAACCGAUCGAAAGGUUGGCUAAUACUGGAUAGUUCAAGCUUGUUAUAAUGGCAAGAUUGGGAAAGGGAGCUGGCAACAGCCUUCGCAUUUUGAUGAGCUCGCGUCUGAUUAGUUAGUUGGUAAGGUAAUGGCUUACCAAGACGAAGAUCAGUAGCUGGUCUGAGAGGAUGAUCAGCCACACUGGAACUGAAACACGGUCCAGACCUCCUACGGGAGGCAGCAGUGGGAAUCUUGCGCAAUGGACGAAAGUCUGACGCAGCCACGCCGCGUGAGUGAAGAAGGCC
rnacentral:rRNA from 1 species